rnacentral:rRNA from 1 species
UUAAGUUAAUAAGGGCGCACGGUGGAUGCCUUGGCACUAGGAGCCGACGAAGGACGUGACAAACGACGAUAUGCCUUGGGUAGCUGUAAGUAAGCGAUGAUCCAGGGAUUUCCGAAUGGGGGAACCCAACAGGUANACAUCUGUUAAGGAUGUGAGGAGGAAGACGCAGUGAACUGAAACAUCUAAGUAGCUGCAGGAAGAGAAAGCAAAAGCGAUUGCCUUAGUAGCGGCGAGCGAAACGGCAGAAGGGCAAACCGAAGAGUUUACUCUUCGGGGUUGUAGGACUGCAAUGUGGACUCAAAGAUUAUAGAAGAAUGAUUUGGGAAGAUCAGCCAAAGAGAGUAAUAGCCUCGUAUUUAAAAUAGUCUUUGUACUUAGCAGUAUCCUGAGUACGGCGGGACACGUGAAAUCCCGUCGGAAUCUGGGAGGACCAUCUCCCAACCCUAAAUACUCCCUAGUGACCGAUAGUGAACCAGUACCGUGAGGGAAAGGUGAAAAGCACCCCGGGAGGGGAGUGAAAUAGAACCUGAAACCGUGUGCCUACAACAAGUUCGAGCCCGUUAAUGGGUGAGAGCGUGCCUUUUGUAGAAUGAACCGGCGAGUUACGUUAUGAUGCGAGGUUAAGUUGAAGAGACGGAGCCGUAGGGAAACCGAGUCUGAAUAGGGCGCCUUAGUAUCAUGACGUAGACCCGAAACCAUGUGACCUACCCAUGAGCAGGUUGAAGGUGCGGUAAGACGCACUGGAGGACCGAACCAGGGCACGUUGAAAAGUGCUUGGAUGACUUGUGGGUAGCGGAGAAAUUCCAAACGAACUUGGAGAUAGCUGGUUCUCUCCGAAAUAGCUUUAGGGCUAGCGUCGACAUUAGAGAUUCUUGGAGGUAGAGCACUGUUUGGGUGAGGGGUCCAUCCCGGAUUACCAAUCUCAGAUAAACUCCGAAUGCCAAUGAAUUAUGGUCGGCAGUCAGACUGCGAGUGCUAAGAUCCGUAGUCGAAAGGGAAACAGCCCAGACCACCAGCUAAGGUCCCAAAAUAAUUGUUAAGUGGAAAAGGAUGUGGGGUUGCACAGACAACUAGGAUGUUAGCUUAGAAGCAGCUAUUCAUUCAAAGAGUGCGUAAUAGCUCACUAGUCGAGUGACCCUGCGCCGAAAAUGUACCGGGGCUAAAACAAUUUACCGAAGCUGUGGAUACCUUUAUAGGUAUGGUAGGAGAGCGUUCUAUGUGUGAUGAAGGUAUACCGUGAGGAGUGCUGGAACGCAUAGAAGUGAGAAUGCCGGUAUGAGUAGCGAAAGACAGGUGAGAAUCCUGUCCACCGUAAGACUAAGGUUUCCAGGGGAAGGCUCGUCCGCCCUGGGUUAGUCGGGACCUAAGGAGAGACCGAAAGGUGUAUCCGAUGGACAACAGGUUGAUAUUCCUGUACUAGAGUAUGUAGUGAUGGAGGGACGCAGUAGGCUAACUAAAGCAGACGAUUGGAAGAGUCUGUCUAAGCAGUGAGGUGUGAAUUGAGUCAAAUGCUUAAUUCUAUAACAUUGAGCUGUGAUGGGGAGCGAAGUUUAGUAGCGAAGUUAGUGACGUCACACUGCCAAGAAAAGCUUCUAGCGUUUAAACAUACUCUACCCGUACCGCAAACCGACACAGGUAGUCGAGGCGAGUAGCCUCAGGUGAGCGAGAGAACUCUCGUUAAGGAACUCGGCAAAAUGACCCCGUAACUUCGGGAGAAGGGGUGCUGACUUAAAGUCAGCCGCAGUGAAUAGGCCCAAGCAACUGUUUAUCAAAAACACAGCUCUCUGCUAAAUCGUAAGAUGAUGUAUAGGGGGUGACGCCUGCCCGGUGCUGGAAGGUUAAGAGGAGUGCUUAGCGUAAGCGAAGGUAUGAAUUGAAGCCCCAGUAAACGGCGGCCGUAACUAUAACGGUCCUAAGGUAGCGAAAUUCCUUGUCGGGUAAGUUCCGACCCGCACGAAAGGCGUAAUGAUUUGGGCACUGUCUCAACGAGAGACUCGGUGAAAUUUUAGUACCUGUGAAGAUGCAGGUUACCCGCGACAGGACGGAAAGACCCCAUGGAGCUUUACUGCAGUUUGAUAUUGAGUGUCUGUACCACAUGUACAGGAUAGGUAGGAGUCUAAGAGAUCGGGACGCCAGUUUCGAAGGAGACGCUGUUGGGAUACUACCCUUGUGUUAUGGCCACUCUAACCCAGAUAGGUGAUCCCUAUCGGAGACAGUGUCUGACGGGCAGUUUGACUGGGGCGGUCGCCUCCUAAAAGGUAACGGAGGCGCCCAAAGGUUCCCUCAGAAUGGUUGGAAAUCAUUCGCAGAGUGUAAAGGUAUAAGGGAGCUUGACUGCGAGAGCUACAACUCGAGCAGGGACGAAAGUCGGGCUUAGUGAUCCGGUGGUUCCGUAUGGAAGGGCCAUCGCUCAACGGAUAAAAGCUACCCUGGGGAUAACAGGCUUAUCUCCCCCAAGAGUUCACAUCGACGGGGAGGUUUGGCACCUCGAUGUCGGCUCGUCGCAUCCUGGGGCUGUAGUCGGUCCCAAGGGUUGGGCUGUUCGCCCAUUAAAGCGGCACGCGAGCUGGGUUCAGAACGUCGUGAGACAGUUCGGUCCCUAUCCGUCGCGGGCGUAGGAAAUUUGAGAGGAUCUGCUCCUAGUACGAGAGGACCAGAGUGGACUUACCGCUGGUGUACCAGUUGUCUUGCCAAAGGCAUCGCUGGGUAGCUAUGUAGGGAAGGGAUAAACGCUGAAAGCAUCUAAGUGUGAAACCCACCUCAAGAUGAGAUUUCCCAUGAUUAUAUAUCAGUAAGAGCCCUGAGAGAUGAUCAGGUAGAUAGGUUAGAAGUGGAAGUGUGGCGACACAUGUAGCGGACUAAUACUAAUAGCUCGAGGACUUAUCCAA